rnacentral:misc_RNA from 1 species
UUGAUGUCAGAUAUAGAAGCCAUAUUAGGCAAUACCAAAAAGUCAAUGAGCCUGUCAAAUCUGUAGUGCACUUUCUUUGCUUCUAUUGUGUAUCGUUUAGACGUGACCUGGUCAAGCUUAUAAUAUCCUUCUUUAUCAGUGAUAGAUUUUUUUUGUCCAUCAACUAAAAUUUCGACACCCUCAAUGCCGUUACCAUCUCCAUCAACCACACGACCCCCAACAGAAAAUCCAGUGACCUGA